GGGAGGGCGCCACUAAGGCCACCCAGAAUUGCUAUGAUAAUUUUUGUUGUUAAAUCCUUGCAACUGAUUUCAAUAACCACCCCCAAUGUGGCUACCGACUCAGAGCCACAAGAGAAUCCGUUAGAUUUGACACUGCACCGCAGAGGCGCAGUGAACGGAACACUGUACAUACUUGAUUAUUGGUUCAGUUAUUAUAUUGUUUUAACCCUUUUUAUUUUUAUAAGGCAAACCCCACAGACAGUAUGUCCCGCAUCCUUAACACCAUCUGGCACCAACAGGUUAGCUAUACAAUUACCUCCCAUUAGGGAACCUAAUGUUGGAAGAGUACCCUGUCUCCCCCCGAGUAGCCACAGACUACACCACAUGUCAGAUGGUACUUAAAAUAUGCUCCCUAAAUACUAAAGGGCUGAAUUCCCCUCACAAGCGCCGCCUAGCACUGCGCGAAGCAAAAUCAUUAGGUGCCCACGUAAUGCUCUUCCAAGAAACGCACUUCCAAUGGGGUAACAGACCGAAGUUUAACUCCCCACAGUAUCCCAUAGAUUUUCACUCAUGUUACUCCAAAAAAAAAAGAGGAGUGUCCAUCCUUAUUGGCAGAGAUGUAGCUUUCUCCCUAAUACGCAAAAUAGGAGAUAAAAAGGGAAGGUACCUUAUAUUGCAAUGCUCCCUAAAUAAUAAUGUCUAUACCUUAAUUAAUGUCUAUGGACCUAAUGUUAACCAAUGUAACUUUGUUGAUGUACUGCUUGGUUUGAUGUCUGCUCACGCACUUGGGGAAGUGAUCAUUGGGGGUGACACGAAUUUCUUACUAGACAGUGACCUAGACUCAUCAGGAGGUCCCCAAUUGACUGCACAAACACUAAAGAGCAGGUCCAAACUAGCCACACUAAUAUGCAACAAACUAACACCGCACAAUCUUGUAGACCCAUGGAGAGUCACCCAUCCCACAGAGAGGGACUACACAUGCCACACAGCAGCGCAUAAGACUUAUUCGAGAAUAGAUAGGUUAUUGAUCCGCACCUCCUCCAUCAUAAAAGUUGAGCGCACAGACAUAGGCCUUAUUACAUGGUCGGACCAUGCCCCUAUUACACUACAACUUAGGGAACAAUUCCCCAACUCAGGAAGAGGCAGUUGGAGACUCAAUGAACAAUUACUCGCUGACCCAGCCAUAGUUAACCAAAUAGAACAAGAUCUACAGUUUUAUUUUAAAGAAAACAAAACCCCAGACUCACCUCUACCCCAAAUAUGGAUGGCGCACAAAGCUUUCAUAAGAGGCAGCUUCAUCAAGCACGCCAGCUACGCAAAAAAAAAGCGACUAGAAUCUUACACAGCCAUACUUUCUGAACUAACCUCCCUAACUCACACCAACAAACACACCCCCACAGCAGCCACACAUACCAAAUUAUUGCGCUUACAAUCGCAGCUCAGAGAUUUGGAACUGGCCAAAACCACAUCCCUCAUGCGCAAGUUUAAACACAGCUUUUUUGCUACAGGCAACAAAGCGGGAGCGCGGCUGGCUGCCCAAUUGAAACAGAGGACGGCUAACUCCAAAAUUGCCUCCAUCAAGGGUUCCAGGGGCACCUUAAUUUUAAACCCACAGGGGAUAGUGGACGAAUUCGCCCAUUAUUAUGAAAAAUUAUAUAAUCUGAAAGAUGACCCACAGACAGUCUGCCCCUCUAAAGCAGAUAUUGACGCUUUCCUGGCAGGAAUCGACCUUCCUACCCUAUCUCAGAUGGAGGCGGAUCAACUUAACAAACCCUUCACGACCGAAGAGAUCACCUCGGUGAUCUCCACGCUCCCACUACAUAAAGCACCGGGACCUGAUGGCCUGCCCAAUAAAUAUUACCGCACCUUCCUUAACACCCUAGCGCAACCUCUUGGCGCUCUAUUUAACCACUGCAUGACAGAAGGGGCAUUGCCAGAAGAAGUCACAAUGGCACAUGUCUCCACACUUCCCAAACCGGGCAAAAAUACAGAUCAAUGUAAAAACUUCAGGCCCAUUUCAUUGUUAAAUAGUGAUGCCAAAAUCUACGCAAAACUAUUUAGCGAAAGAUUGGCACCGUUGCUACAUAAAUUAGUACAUAAUGACCAGUCCGGAUUCGUGAGGGGCCGACAAGGCUCUGAUAACUCGAGGAAAGUGCUAAACAUAAUAGCGGGAAUGGAGAGGGGACAAAUCGGAGGUCUUUUCCUGGCGCUGGACGCCGAAAAGGCCUUUGACAGACUUAACUGGCAAUAUAUGACACAAGUGCUGUGCAAGUAUCAGUUCCCCGAAGAGGUUAUCAGGGGAAUCCUGGCUCUGUACGCACGACCCAGUGCUAAGGUCUCCCAUGGGGGCUUCCUGUCACGCACUUUCCACAUUACGAAUGGGACACGCCAGGGUUGCCCACUAUCCCCCCUGUUAUACAUACUCUCACUGGAGCCCUUGGCUUGGAAGAUAAGACAACACCAGGCCAUAACCGGUAUCACACUGGGGGACAGGGAAUAUUGUCUGGCGAUGUUUGCGGACGAUAUUUUCGUGGCGCUUUCAAAUCCAGAACAAUCGCUGCCCCCUCUACUAACUCUACUGACAGACUAUGGUAGAAUAUCAUACUACCGUCUGAAUAAGGAGAAAACACAAGCCCUACCGAUAAACCUACCAGGGCCAAAUGUAACUACCCUUAAGAACUCCUUUGAACUCGACUGGCGAACAACAUCUAUAACGUACUUAGGGGUUAAGAUCGCCGCUCCUAUUAGCAACAUAGUAAAGCUCAAUUAUAAGCCCCUCAUACAUCUAUGCACCACAGAAAUACAUAAAUGGAAGAAUGCAAAAUUGUCCUGGCUGGGCCGAGUGAAUGCAUAUAAGAUGAUGCUUUUGCCAAGGUUACUGUAUAUAUUCCGCAUGCUCACAAUAGACAUCCAAGCCGCAAUCCACAAAUCGUUACAAGCCAUAUGCAACUCCUUCAUCUGGGGGGGUAAGAAACCCAGGCUGCCCCUAGGUCUCCUACAACGGACGACCCAAACGGGGGGUAUAGGCAUGCCCAACAUUGGACUCUAUUACAAAGCCUCUAUCCUAGCAACGAGUAUACACAUACACGCCCAAAAGGGGGUAACACAGUGGGUGGAUAUGGAACAAGACCAACUUAAGCACACCUCACUGCUUAAUUACCUAUGGACGCCGAGAACACUAAGAGGCCCCAAAGUAACUCUAUACCCCACCACACUCGCAACGGUCAAAGUAUGGGACGACUUUAUGUCCUCAUUGGGCUGGAGGAAACACUUCCACCCUGAAGCUCCCCUUACUGCACUACAUGCAGUGAAUCCUACGAUCCCACUAAACAGAUGGUCACGCUUAGGUAUAUCCCAAAUCCAACAACUGUGUACAGACCAGACGAUCAUGAGUUUCCCAGACAUCAGAGACAGAUGGAAGGUCCCGGAGAGGGAUAUCUUUCCCUACUUACAACUGAAAAACACAAUAAACACGCACGUCAAGGGCACACCUCACACUGGGCCUACUCCUGCGGUAGCAGCGAGACUGAUACCCCACAGAUGCUGGACAGCCCCGAUGAAACCCAAAGCCCUCUCACUUUGCUAUAAAGCAUGGCUUGACCUAGCACCACAAAAACCGAUGACAUGUAAACAGCACUGGGAGACUGAGAGGGGGACAGUCAUGACAGAGGAAAGGUGGAUGCUGGCCCUAAAUGGGAUCAAAAAGUGGACCAAGUGCUACUCACAUAUUGAAGCGCAUCGCAAACUACUAUAUAGGUGGUACAUGACACCCACCAGACUACACAGAAUGUACCCAGACGUUUCCACCAAAUGUUGGAGAUGCGGUGUGGAAGAGGGAACCCUGCCACACAUAUGGUGGCAUUGUGGAGGGAUACAACCUAUCUGGGGAGAUGUUCAGACCCUAUUGAAAGAUCUCGGCAUUAGAGACUUCCCCAUGGACAUAACGACCUGCCUACUCUUGCUGUUCCCCGAAACAACACAAAAAAACCACACACAAUUGAUAGGGAUAGUUUUAAUGGCCGCUAGAAACCUGAUAGCUCUAAACUGGAAAACACCUCGCUGCCCAGCCAUCCACCAAUUGGCAGACAAAAUACAACAAUUCUAUAUAUACGAGAAAAUGUCCACUGACAACGCCAGGGCCACGGAAAGGUUCCAAAACACUUGGAAUAUCUGGGAGACAUGGUAUGAGGGACAGAAACACCAGGGAGGGUGAGAGGGGAGGAGGGGACCCAGAAGAGUCAGGGCGGCCCAGGGAAACAUGGACGGUGACUUAUGUGAGCUGACAUGGCCAAAGUACGCAGGAAAUGCUGGAUUCAAACUAUUAUGAUUUGCCUCUAUAUUUGUUUGUGUAUAUACCUUUGUUACGUUUAUUUGAAUUGUAAUAUCAACCCAAUUGAAGAGUAAUUGCAAACCAGCUUUGAUAAAAUGUUACAUAGUACACGGAGGUAGAUGAUGUUACUGUAUAACUUUAGAGUACAAAUAUAUUAUCCUGUAA
rnacentral:lncRNA from 1 species